rnacentral:sRNA from 1 species
AAUUUUCCCACUGUAAAAAACCGAGCAAGUCUGGAUAAGUGAGGCUGGCUCCAUGUAUCCAGAAUCAACGACGGGCUCCCCGGCUCGGCUCUCGCUGCGGCAGACGGGCUCCCCCGGGAUGAUCUACAGUACUCGGUAUGGGAGUCCCAAAAGACAGCUCCAGUUUUACAGGAACCUGGGCAAGUCUGGCCUGCGGGUCUCCUGCCUGGGACUUGGAACAUGGGUGACCUUCGGAGGCCAGAUCACCGAUGAGGUAAGAUGGGGCUCUCCCAGCAUCCCAGAACCCAGCACGGGCUCGCCAGAGCACAUGGUUAAGUCUGCCGCGUGGAC